GCACGUUCCUAUAAUAAUCAUACGACGAACUUGUUUCUCCCUUCUUCCUUUCCUUUCACGUUUCCCCCCAUUAUUACUUCUUCUUUUUUUCCUCUCUUCAGUUAUAUCUUUUCCCCAGAAUUUGAGAUCCUUUCUUUGCACAAACGUAACUAUAUUCUCCUUUCCUUUUGUAGAAUCUCCGCACCAUUAUCUUCUUCUCCAUAAUAUUUAUGCCAUAUUUUAAUUCCCAUUCAAUUUUUUAUUCACAAAUUUCACUGCAGUUCUUCAAAUCCCUUUGAAUCAUUUCUCACAUAGAUCCCAAGUUUUUUUUGGUUCUUUAGCUUCUCCCAUUUCAAGGUUCCUUUUCAAGUUCAGCAAGUUCAUUUUCUUUUUUAGUUUGUUCAAGAUUCAAAUUAUAUGUUAUAUUUUUGAGAAUUUGUUGCUAAUGGGUGAGUAUUUGUGUUGUUUUUAGGCAUUUUGAAGAAAGAUGUUGGGAGAAUUCAUCACCAGCAGUUUAGU
rnacentral:lncRNA from 1 species